CUCUAAGUUAAGCUCUACAGUUAUCGGUAUGCUUUCCGUUAGUUUUAUGAAUUCGAAAGAACGUUUUGCAAUUUCAGGCUUUUGUUUUGUCAUCGUCUAGUAAAAUUGCUCUCUGUCGUUAUUUAUGUAUGUAAUAUUAUAAAAUCGCUCAUGUCAGUUAUGUUAUUCUUUGUCGUUGCGUAAUAUCGCCGGGUAAAAGCCGGUUCGUCGCAAGCACUAUAAUAAUAAAGUGUGCGCCAAUUAAUCCUAUCGUUAAAUUCAGUGCAAGAAACUGUCCGUUUCGAGCUCAUAAGAAAACUCUUUCGGUAUUUUGCAAAAAAGUUUCCAAAUUAAAACAUAAAACGAAUGGAAACCUCAAAACUAAAGUCAAUGAUAAUGUGGACGACAAUGAAAACUCUAUAUUGUCUUCAGCCUCAACCUCUAAAUUACCAUUUAUCCUAACAGGAAAAUUAUGAGGUAUUAAAAAACUCUACAAAUCAGAAAAUAAUGGCGCAAUAUAAAAAUUGUCCCAAAACUAUAAAUGGUUCGAUAACUUCUACAGGAAACUUUAUCAGAGUCAUUAUAAUAGAAUACAUCCUCACUUAAUACAAAAAAAUAAAAUUAAAAAGAUUAGAAAAGAAGAAGUAUAGUAAAACAGAUAUAAGGCAACAAGGUAUUAUCUUAAUGAUGCAAAGUAAAUCGUCUAUUGCAGUGAAGAAGAUAUAUAAUUUAAUUUUAACUUACUUCAUUGAAGAAAUUCAUCCUUUAAACACGAUUUACAAAGCAUCAUUCAGAAAUUUAAUCUGUGGAUUAAACAGGAAACAAUAAACCUGAAAAAAUUCUACCUGGAAAAAGUGCUUUGUCUACUAAGAUUAAUAACUCCUACAAAGAAAAAACAUCUAAAUUGAAAGAAUUAUUACAAAAAACAUCUAAAUUGAAAGAAUUAUUACAAAAGCAAGUUUAUAUGCUGAUAUUUGGUCGUGUCGCAACAGUUAUUUAGGAAUGACUGUCCACUUUAUUUUGGAUACGUUUGAAAGAAAGUCUUAUACAUUAGCUUGUAUAGUAAAAGAAUAUUUUAUAAUCAUACUUACAAAAAUAUUGCAUUAGUUAUCCAUCACAUAUUGACAAAUUUCAGUUUAAAUGUAUCUAAAGUUACUCAGUGAUAAUGCCACAAAUUUUGCUAAAUCUUUUAGAUGUUUUGGUAUUACCACUUGAAAACUGUAAUCAAAAUUAGGGUACACUACAAAUAAAUAAAGAUAUUUUGAAUGAUGAGGAUUAUUCGGAUUCAGAUAUUGAAAUUAACAUUAAUUGAUUUUGGAAAAAUGUUAAUAAAUAUUGAUAGUAAUGAACAUGACAUUGAAAAUUCUAUUACAGAUGAAUUGGGAAAUUAUUUUAUCUCGUCAGUUAACAUGUUGUUCCCAAACAUUAAAAACUUAUCGCUAAGAUUGUAAAAAAAUUUUGGAUAAAUCUAGUAAUGCUAUGUUGAAAGAAAUUGAUUUUCUGUUUUUGCAAAGUUAAAUGCUUUUUGGAACUUGUUUAGUCAUAGUACAGUUGCAUCUGAUAUUUGUCUUCAGAAAUGUAAUUGUAAAUUUUCAGUGCUGUUAUUACGCGAUGGAAUUCUCAAUACGAUGCUAAAGAAAAUUCUUGUUUAUAAAAAAUAACUCAAUACACUUUUUGAAAAGCUAAAGUUCAAAAAAUUGAAACCAAUUGAAAUUGAAUUCUUAGAAGAAUUUAUUAUGUCUCUUUUAGCAAGUCUUGACAUGUUACAAGGAGAAAAAAUAAAUUUUUUAGGUUUGGUAGCACCUUUACUAUACUAAAACAAAAACUUACAAAAUUUAUGCAUUUAAUAUUGUAAUCCAUUUGUAGUUGGAAUUCAACCUUCUAAAAGCGAUUAUAAAAUUAUAUAUUAAAUAUAUUUUUGAUCUUGGAUCACCUGAUAGUAAAGCAUUUAUUAUAUCUGCUAUCAACUUACCUAAAUUUAAAUUAAAUUGGGUGCCAGAAGAUAACAUAGAGUUAUGUAAAGAACUUUUUUUAAAGUAGAUAACUUGUAUUGCAAAAAUUUACUCUCAGACUAAACAAUUAACUUCCAAUAGUAGUAGUAGUACUAACUUCCGAAAACGUCCAACGCCUGAUUAUCAUGAAAUUUGGUAGAAAUACUAUCCAAAUGACAUCAAAUGAAUGCCCUUAAAUGGAUUUUCAUCAAUAAAAAGGUUUAAUGUAAAAAAUGUUUAAAUAAAGUUAUAUACCACCUAAAUGCACACGGAUUUUUUUCGUAAUAUAGACAAAAAACUGAGAUUAGUGUGACACCAGUCGUUCAAAGCAAUAUUGAAGUACUUUCAUAUUUAGAAAAUAAAUCUGAAGAAAUA